GAGUGAGCAUAUGCUUGUUCUUUGUUGCCAUCAUAACACCUGCAAUGAACUUCAUGCAAGUGUACCUGAACUAGGGCAGUAGGGAUCAUGGAGUUGAGGGUGCAUGGAAUUUAGCAUCCAAGACCCUCGUACCCACGCAAGUAUUUUCACCACCAAGUCUAGCAGGAGUAGCAUAUUUCUCACAGCUGCUCCUAACAGUAUGGUUCUCUGCGAAGGAGAGAAGUAUCGAGGAGCACUGCGAAAGGCCUUGCUCAAAUGCCGCUGCCGCCGCCUCCUUCUCCUGUGAAUGUGAUCUUGAAAAGGGGGAGUAAAUGAUCUUUUGGUGUGACAGUGCAAUCUACUUAACCUAGAAAUUGUACUCACAGAGAAUUGCAGAAGAAAAGGGAUGUCAAAUCCGAGCAUCUCAGGGGAAGGGAUGUGAAAUCCAGAAAUCAGCCUCUUCAUAUUUUUAACUGAUACUUUUAAAGUUGCAAGUGAAGUGUGUAAGAAAUUCAUCAGCAAACACUGUCCAAGUCUUGACCAGUUUGAAUUUGGAAACAUAAAAGGUACAUCAUAACUGCAGGAAAAGUCUGUAAAUAUGUUCACCUCCUACCACCAAAAGGACCUUCCUCCAUCCCUAUGAUAGACUGUUUGGCUCUGAGUUCACCAGUCACUCAGAGUCACAGCAUGAACUGGUUUAUGAGACCAUCAGGAAAACACCAGAAUAAUGACUGAGAAGAGAAAAGCCAAAUCUGAGCAAUAUUGAACUUUUAUAUAUGCCUGAAUGCAGUUUCACUAGCCCAAUAACUCACAUACCAAAAUGUGGAAGAAAAAGGACAAAAUUUUAACGAAUGGAAAGCUAGAAAACUAAAUAGCUGAGCAGGUGUCUAGGAAGCAUCAAUUCUUUGGUAAGACCGUGGUGUGUUUGGAAAGUAUUUGCUGUGAAACCAAAAAAUGCUGGCAUAAGAGAAAGCAUGGGGUAUAAAAAAGUGGCCAAGGAGAACCAUUUGUACAUCAGGUGCAAUGAAAGCAGAUGGUGCUGAGAAGUUCAGAAGAGCAAGGAGACAGCAUAGAUUCUUUGGAAUGAGUGUUUACCAUUCCCACAUAAGUUCAUGGGUGUUUUUGGUACCCACUGCUGAAGCACUGAAGUUAAUGUGCCUUUCUCCUCUCCCUAAUCUUGCUUCAGGGCUAUUUAAUGCCUCACUAGACCUAAGAAUAAACCCUAGGGUCCCAUGCUCAUUUCACUUCAAUUAAGAUAUACCGCCUGAGCGAAAUAUACAUCGAUAGGGAGCCACAUUUUCUGAAAUAACUGCUUAUCUCUGCACUUUCAGCUCAUUAUAAACAGACUCCUGGGAUCUAGCUUUAAAUAAAGG